GGAAUGGACCCGGGAGAAGGCGUGUGUUCUUGACAAGAGGGGCGGUGCAUCCUUGUUCCCCAAGAGUUGGACAUUCCGCCCGCGCCCCGUCUGAAGUUCUCAGUACUGCUCCGACCAGCCAACUCUGCCCACAGUAGAUCAGAAGGAAUCUUUGUUCCCUCCACUUGAAAGGAGUUCCCGAGCAGCCCACAGAUGCUGGGAGUCUUUCUGUGACUUUCCUCUGCUGAUGAUGUGACUACAUAAGAAGGAUCUGGGUCUCCAACUCACCCUGAAGUCUGGGCUGUCUUCUGGGCACGACGGAGUCCAGUGUCCCUGCAGCUUCCAGGUGACAACCUCAGACUCCAGGACAGCCAUGAAAGGAUGAGCAAAGCCCUUGUACCUGACAGCCACUGACACACUCGUUCCUCUGUUGAUCCCUCCAUCUCCGAGCUGGUAUGGCAGCUGGAUGGACUUGGGAACACUGAACAUCUGGGAGCUUGGCCUGUUACUGUGAAGAUGUGUAAUGGCCUAGAGUGCAGGUCUGCCGAGGAAGCCAUAUGAUUCUUCUCUCGAGUUGAUGGGGUUCCCACACCCUGGAGAGGACAGGCCAGCCGAGACCAUCACGACCAAGGUCCUAGCAAGCCUGUAGCCUGACCAGUGCGGGGUGAGCUGGCCUACAGCUGCUGGCUAUACCCAGAAGUCCUCAGCAUCAUUCCCUGUGAGCUCUUUCUUCUAAGACCUCCCACAGCCAAAAUCUGCUUCAAGCCUGUCUCACCAACCAACAAGCGGAAUUCCAACCCUCCUGCCAGAAGUUUCAGUGGCCAGAUGAAAACACUGUCUUUCUAGGUGGACAAUUCCCAAGAGAAACUUAAGUAUCUGUAAGAUCCACUGCUGUAGAACUGUAUCAAGAACCCGAAAGCUUUUCUGUGCAGGAAAGCUUGAAGGCUGUGUGCUCUGCAACAGGGCAGCUCCAGGCACAGGGACCUCUCUACCUCCUGUGGCUCAGACACUGGCAAAGACACAGCUGAAGGUCUAAUGUCAGGGAAGGGUGCUGGACAUCACUCCUUUCUGUUGGAAGGGUCCUUACAUCCAUCCACAAAGUGAAACGACCUCUGACACCUGACCUCAGAGGGACUCUGUGUAGAAGAAGUACGAGGUCCUCACAAGUUCAACCCGAGGAAUGUCCCUCCCCCCACCUCAUGCUGCCCCACCAGAUUCCAUCACAAAGAGGGUGCCAGUGUCCAGGUCCAACUUCCCUGGAGAACACGGCACAGUGAGGUCACGAGGCCCUUUGGCAGCCGAUGGCAAGCUGCCUUUGUUUUUUUCUAAGCUAGCUGAGACCUGAGAAGAGGGCUGUGCCAUUCCCCUGAGGCCUGCAGGCACCACUCGCUACCAUCCCUCUUCAUCUUCUGGAGCAGUCCUCCCUGGGAGCCCUGGGAAAGGUGGCCUCCCAGAUACCAGAGACAAGUGCCUCUGUUGUUUGGGCAGAGCCAGCCUGGGUCGGGCAGGGUGUUGGAGAGGACACACGGGCUUUGAUUCUGAGCUGCUCCUUCCUUCCCGACCCUCCUCCCAGCCCACCUGUGCAGAAAGUCCCCUCUCCCUGCCUCGGUUCACUGAGCUGGCACAAAGAGCCUCACUGAGCCCAAGGUCAGGGGCAUCAGAUUAGCCACUGAGCAGGCUUGAGAAGCGGAGCCUCUGGGAGCCACCUUCUCAGGAUAAUGUCUGCUUGUUCUAGGCACAAACACAGGUCUAUUGGGAAGGACCUGGGGAGAUGGUUCAGAAACUAGGGCUACAUCCUCCCAAGGGCCAGGUGGAAUCUCUGAGCACAAAGACAAAAAAAAAAAAAAA